rnacentral:rRNA from 1 species
AUGCUCCACCUCCGGCAGCGCGCCCUCUCCCAUCUCCUCUCCGCCGCGCCACCUUCUUCCACCUCCAUACUCCUCUCUCUCCACCGCCUCCUCUCCGCCGCCGCUGCCCCCCGCAUUUCUCCCAACCCUAGGUUCGCCGUGGAGGACUACCUCGUCUCCACCUGCGGCCUCACCCCAGCGCAGGCACUCAAGGCCUCCGCCAGGCUCUCCCACCUCAAGUCCCCCGCCAAGCCCGACGCCGUCCUCGCCUUCCUCGCCGGCAUCGGCCUCACCGGCGCCGAUGUCGCGGCCCUCGUCGCCAGGGACCCGCGGUUCCUCUGCGCCAAAGUGGAGACAACCCUGUCCCCCGUCCUCGCCGGGUUCACCGGCCUCGGUCUAUCGCCUUCUGAUAUCGCGCGCCUCGUCUCGCUCGCCCCGACCGAAUUCCGCCAUAGAUGCGUCGUCUCCAAGCUAGAGUACUACCUUCCACUCUUCGGCUCCAUCGACAACUUGCUCCGGCCGCUCAAAUGCUGCACCGCCUUCCUCGGCUCCCACCUCGAGAGGGUGGUCAAGCCCAACGAGGCCUUCCUGCGGGAGUGCGGGCUAGGUGAUCGUGAUAUUGCCAAGCUGCUCAUCCAAACGCCUAGGAUCCUCACCGCCAAACCAGGGCGCGUCCUGGCGAUGGUUGCGUGCGCCGAAGGUAUAGGUGUGGCCCGUGGCUCUGGAAUGUUCAGGCAAGCGCUGCAAGCCAUCUCAUACGUCGGCGAGGACAAGAUCGCUGCCAAACUGGACUACCUGAAGAAGACACUUAGGUGGUCAGAUACCGAGGUUGGCAUUGCCGUGUCCAAGGGUCCGUUUUUGCUGAGGAGGUCAAAUGACGUGCUGCAGCGUAUGUCAGACUUCCUAAUCUCUGAGGUGGGCUUGCAGCCGGCCUACAUUGCGCAUCGCCCGGCUUUGCUCACUUACAGCCUGGAGGGCCGGCUCAGGCCCCGCUACUAUGUUGUGAGAUUUCUGAAGGAAAAUGGAUUGCUAGAGCACGGGCGGAGCUACUAUACAACACUGGUUAAGACUGAGAAGGUUUUCAUGGAAAAGUUCAUAUGCCCUCACAAGGAAGCCGCACCACACCUUGCUGAAGACUACGCGGCUGCUUGCAAAGGGGAAGUGCCGGCUAGAUUCAGAUUUACAUGA